GCAGUUAUACCAGAGGUCAGAGUAAAUUAGCAGUUAUACCAAAGGUCAGAGUAAAUUAAUAACAGUUGUGUAAUCCCAUACUUCAGCUUCUGCUAAUAAUAAUAAUAAUAAUAAUAAUAAUAAUAAUAAUAAUAAUGAUAAUGAUAAUAAUAAAAAACAAUAAUAAUUGAUAUAUCAGUUAUACCAUGGGUCAGAGUAAAGUAUUAACAGUUAUACCAGAGAUCAGAGUAAAUUAAUAAUAGCAGUUAUACCAGAGGUCAGAGUAAAUUAAUAACAGUUAUACCAGAGGUUAGAGUAAAUUAAUACACUUUAAAAAUGAUUAAGAGUUUUAGUCAGGUGAACAAGUAAAAUCAUGUCCUGUCAACUUGCAGUGCCUCACUACACAACUGGAAAAGUUCUAACAAUCUCGACUUGAUGGGAAAUGGAAAACUUUAAAUAACCAGUUCAUAUAACAACAAAACAUAGGUUCUAUCAAUUUUCUCUGUAAUGCGCAUGUGCCAGAAUCUCUUCGUCAUUAUAAAGUAAUAUUUUAACGAAGUUGAGACAGACACGCCAUCCGCCAUUUUCUGCACCGGAAGUUGCUGAUCAUGCCAGAAAAGAUGAAGGAGCCCGCGAUUACAGAUGAACUUUAUUCACUGCAAAUAAUGAAAUGAGAUCAGUACAGUGCAAGUAGAGUGGAAGCACAACUUCAUAUCAAUGAGGUGGUGUUGCAAGAUUUGUAGAUUUUCCUCAUCCAACCAGCAUGCCCUAAUCACACAUUACAAGCUGAGACACUGCCGAUCAAAC